AUUGAACGCUGGCGGCAGGCCUAACACAUGCAAGUCGAACGAGUGGCGGACGGGUGAGUAAUGUCUGGGAAACUGCCUGAUGGAGGGGGAUAACUACUGGAAACGGUAGCUACUACCGCAUACCAUCGGAUGUGCCCAGAUGGGAUUAGCUAGUAGGUGGGGUAACGGCUCACCUAGGCGACGAUCACUAGCUGGUCUGAGAGGAUGACAGGCCACACUGGAACUGAGACACGGUCCAGACUCCUACGGGAGGCAGGAGUGGGGAAUAUUGCACAAUGGGCGAAAGCCUGAUGCAGCCAUGCCGCGUGUAUGAAGAAGGUCUUCGGGUUGUAAAGUUCUUUCAGCGGGGAGGCGUUACCCACAGAGGAAGCACCGGCUAACUACGUGCCAGCAGCCGCGGUAAUUC
rnacentral:rRNA from 1 species